rnacentral:hammerhead_ribozyme from 1 species
AUCCAGCUGACGAGUCCCGAACAGGAUGAAACGCGCGUUCUGGAU